GGCUUCUUAGCUCAGCUCUUAUAGCGCUUGUUUCAUUUAGGUGCGAUGUUUCUGUUGCUGGUUCGAAUCCAGCCGAAGCUC